AUACGUAGGGGGCGAGCGUUGUCCGGAAUGAUUGGGCGUAAAGGGCGCGUAGGCGGCCUGUUAAGUCUGGAGUGAAAGUCCUGUUUUCAAGAUGGGAAUUGCUUUGGAUACUGAUGGGCUUGAAUGCAGGAGAGGUUAUCGGAAUUCCCGGUGUAGCGGUGAAAUGCGUAGAGAUCGGGAGGAACACCAGUGGCGAAGGCGGGUAACUGGACUGCAACUGACGCUGAGGCGCGAAAGUGUGGGGAGCAAACAGGAUUAGAUACCCUGGUAGUCCACACUGUAAACGAUGAAUGCUAGGUGUAAGAGGUAUCGACCCCUUUUGUGCCGGAGUUAACACAAUAAGCAUUCCGCCUGGGGAGUACGGCCGCAAGGUUGAAACUUAAAGGAAUUGGCGGGG
rnacentral:rRNA from 1 species